rnacentral:rRNA from 1 species
CAGGGUACUCGAGUGGCGAACGGGUGAGUAACACGUGGGUGAUCUGCCCUGCACUUCGGGAUAAGCUUUGGAAACUGGGUUUAAUACCGGAUAGGAACCAUCUUUAGUGUGGUGGUUGGAAAGUUUUUUCGGUGUAGGAUGAGCUCGCGGCCUAUCAGCUUGUUGGUGGGGUAAUGGCCUACCAAGGCGGCGACGGGUAGCCGGCCUGAGAGGGUGUACGGCCACAUUGGGACUGAGAUACGGCCCAG